UACCGGAAGAAGCUACGCAUAUUACGCACUGCAGUGUUUGGUGUACGAGCAGAUUCAGCUGUUUAUAUAUCAAUCAUUAUGACGACUAAGUCAGUGAAAGCUAAAUCUAAGUCUAGAUAUACAGGUGUACACACAAUUUUAGAAUAAAUUGAUUGGGAAGGUGAGACAGAGAUUGUUGUAGGACGCUUCAUUUAGCGAUUGUGGAGGAAUAUUUUUUGAACGGGAGAGGACAUCGUUUUGGACUGGACCUGAGCCCUAGGACCAUGCGUCAGGACUACCUGGCAUAAUGACUCCUUGCUGUCCCCAGUCCACCUGGCCUUGCCGCUGUUCCAGUUUCAACUGUUUUGCCUUCGGCUAUUGAACCCUAAACUGUUCAUUUUUACUCUUGAGGUGCUGUCCUGUUGCACCCUCUACAACCACUGUGAUCUCCACCCGGCACAACCAGAAGAGGACUGGCCACCCCACAUAGCCUGGUUCCUCUCUAGGUUUCUUCCUAGGUUUUUGCCUUUCUAGGGAGUUUUUCCUAGCCACAGUGCUUCUACACCUGCAUUGCUGGCUGUUUGGAGUUUUAGGCUGGGGCUAUAUAAAUUGAUUUGAUUUGAUAGAGGACUGAGGGUCUUCCAAAUAUUGAAAGUGUGUAAAUAGUUACCCAUGUUAUUUUGUAAAUAUAUAUUUUUUCAUAUAUUAUUUAAUCAAUUAUUAUUUUUUUUUUCCCAUUUUUUCCCUCAUUUUUUUUCUAUUUUUUGGGGGGAGAGUGUUUUAGAAUACAAUUUUGGUAUUUUGAAUAUAGUUAUUUGUUUCAAAAUGUAUACCUUUCCCAAUUUGGCCACUUGGGUACAUUUGGGCUACUUGUGUGGGACACCUGAGUGACUUCAUGAUACAUGUCAUGUAGCGCACUCAUUUUGGAAGUUAUCAUUCUGAAACUUUGCACAAGUACUGUUGCCCUCUUAUAUUCUUCACUGAAAUUGUCCCCAUCAUCCUAUCUGAAUGUUUGUUUUAUCUUGUUCAUUUUAAAUAUGAUGAUACAACAAUAAAAAUAAAAAACGUA